CAACGAGCGCCAACCCUUGCUCAUAGUUGCCAGCGGUUCGGCCGGGCACUCUAGUGGGGACUGCCGGUGAUAAACCGGAGGAAGGGUGGGGAUGACGUCAAGUCCUCAUGGCCUUUAUGUCCGAGGGCUACACACGUGCUACAAUGGACGGUAACAAAGAGUUGCGAUCCCGCGAGGGGGAGCUAAUCGGAGAAACCUGUUCUCAGUUCGGAUUGCAGGCUGCAACUCGACUCCAUGAAGUCGGAGUCGCUAGUAAUCGCGGAUCAGCAAAGCCGCGGUGAAUGCGUUCUCGGGGAUU
rnacentral:rRNA from 1 species